CUCACUUUGUUUACAGGAUCAUCUUUCCUCCAUGCUCUGGGCUCCUUGAGAGCAGGGCUCUGUUUUAUUCUCAGUGUCCCUGGGCGUCUUCAGCAUCUAGUACUUUCCUAGCACCUAGCUGAGGAGGGACUCAAUUGAGUGGGAGUGAAGAGACGCCACAGCCAACCCCAGAUCCCUGCUGGUCUUCACAGAGGCAGCGUAUUUUCCUGUGGGUUGUCAAGACUCUCCUCCAGCUCUAUGAGCUGUGAACGGCUAAGAGAGCAGGAAACAUGUCCUAUUCACAUCAUCAGGCAAAAUGCCUGCCCCUACCCGAGGCCUCAAAAUUAAACUCCACUGAAACCUGUCCACUAUGAGUAACCCUGCCUGUAUUUGAAAUACCAGUGGCAUAUUUUUCAGCAUCACAGCAACGGCAGCUGCCACAGUAUGACAAUUGACCCAUGGUGGUGUGGUUCCCUGACAGGAAACAGGCUCAGGCCUUGGCAGAGAAAGCAUUGAAUCUUAACCAGUAGGCCACUGGGGCUGGCGAAGAUAGUGGAAAGUACGUUUAAAAAGCCUGUUGUUUUGGGGGCUGGCCUGGUAGCAUAGUGGUUAAGUUGGAGCACUCCACGUCAGUGGCCCCGGGUUUGCAGGUCCAGAUCUCAGGUGCGGAUCUGUGCACCGUUUGUCAAGCCACACUGCGGCAGCAUCACACAUAAAGUAGUGGAGGACUGGCACAGAUGUUAGCUCAGAGACAGUCUUCUUCACCACAAAAAACCAAAAACAAGAGCCUGUUGUUUUGGUUCCUGCUUGAUUGUAGGCUUUAGUAGGAUAGUCACCCAUGUUGUUGGGCCUUGUGGAAUAAUCUUUCAAAAACAUUCUUAAUAAAAAGCCAUAUGACGUUAUACUUAAGAUCAUGAACUUUGGAGCUAGGCUCCCUGGGUUUGAAUCACAGUUCCACUGUUUCGUACCUCCUAGGGGUGCUUUGAAGACUAGAUGAGGUAAUAUGCAAAGUGCUUAGAAUAGUACCUAGUAUUAGUUCUAAGUACUAGUAUGUAAGUACUGAUUGUUACUAUUCUGGAACGCUCUUUUCAUUUUCCUCCUCUCUUCUCCUCCCCCCCACAUGCUGUUUGGUACGUUUUUCAGCAUCGGUUCUAUGGCUGACAUGAUAUAUAGGCAUAUACACCUUAAAGAAAUAUUUCUGCAGAGUAAGCGUUAAUGUCAAUGCAAAAGUUCUUGUACCAACAGUAUCAUUACAGAGUUAACGGCCCUGCUUUUAACUGAGAGUGGAAUAUACGGAGGCCUCGUUAGAAAUACAGUCUCUGCCUUAAAGAAAUUUUCAGAUAAUAUAGUAUGGGCUUCACCAUAGGCAACUUUAGUGUAUUAUUUAAGUAUAAGCAGAGAUGCACAUCUUGAAAAGCCAUUCUGGACUGAGAGGUUUGCUGAUGUUAAGGAAGUGCAAAUAUAUACGAUUAAUGGGUGAGCGAGGGGGAGACGUGUUUCCUGACUCAGUCAACGCUGAGUUCCAUCUGACUGAGAUUAUUCAGUUCUUUGGGAAACAGCAAGGCCUCCUGCAUACACUGAGGUGGUUUUAAUGAUCUCAUCGCUUGCCAUCAGUCUGCAUAAUAAGACUUACCUUCACGGGGGGGCUCUUUUCCUGAGGUUUGAAGCUCUGCAGAUUUUUUUCCUUACCUUCUUUACAUUUCUAAAGCAUAUGUGUUUGGUAGAGAAAGGCUCCAAAUUGUGCUCACUGUGCUUGACUGGACACUUAGUUUUACCACUUGAAGUUUUAAAUAGAUUUGCAGAUUUGGGAAGCUGCAGAGGUACAGCUGCCCUAUGCCUUCCCGAAUGGACUAGCUACUGCCUCCUUUAGUCAGAUAAUUCAGCACCCACCAGAACCUUCCAGUUAUAUUUUCCAUGCUUAUUCACACAUGCAAAUCCCAAACCAUAUGUUUACCUUUAUUUUUAAUAUUCUUACUUACAGAAACAAAAUUAUGGAUCCUUCACUCAUAGGAGGUGUAGUAGGCCAUAAAAGCAUAAGAGGAAAUGGGAUUUAUAUAUAUAAUUAUUACUUUUUGAGCCAUAAAAGUCAUGGCAUGACUAACGAGCCUGGCAAGUGGUUACAUGGAAAAGUGUAGGCUAAUGCCAAAUACCUAAACGAAAACCAAAGAACUCACAGAAAUAAUCAGACAUCCUGUCUGCAUAAUAUCAGAUAGCAAAAUGCAUGAAAAUAUCUGCAAAAUGGACUGAGUUUUCUAGAUUUUAUCUCACAUAUGAUGUCAUUUAGAGGCAGACCUGACUCUAAACAAUUAAAUUCAUUCUUGGAGGCUCCAACGCUGUCUUCUGUGUAUGACCCAAGAAGUUAUUGGAGGGUUAGAGGCUGACCUCACAGCAUUAUGCACGAGGUGGUCUCUACUUAUCUUGGCAUGUUACCGCCUUGAAGAAUGGAUCUUAGUGAUCUACUUAGUUAAUUCAUUCCCAAAGGUAAACAAUUGCUACCAGAGAAUAAUUUGAUAACAGUGGCUCUGGAAAUGAUAUAAAAACCUCUGGGGGUACUUAGUUAAUUCAUUCCCAAAGGUAAACAAUUGCUACCAGAGAAUAAUUUGAUAACAGUGGCUCUGGAAAUGAUAUAAAAACCUCUGGGGGAAUUUGGUUUUGUUCCUAGAAGAAAUCAAGGAAAAUUUUUUGUUGUGUCACCUAAAUUUACUAUUAAGCGUGACCAUGUGGAUGUUUCUUAACUAAUCUGAACCUUCGUUCCUUCCCAGGUAAUGUUGGCAUAACUAUACCAGUUUUGGAGUUGUUUUGAGGUUAAAUAAGAAAAUCUGUGUUGAAAUACCUUGUCAAGGACCUGACACACGAAAAGUGUUCAGUAAGCAGUAGCUGUAGGGUGGUGUCAACACUUAGGCUUCUUAACAAAGCUUUGGGACAGUGGAGUGUACCUAUGCUCACUCAGACGAUAGCUGGGGCAGGAGUGCGUGGCGCUUUUCUCUCCCGUUGCUGAGUAAGUUUUAUUUUUAAUAACUGGGACUUGAGAAUGCUUCAUUCUGUAGAGUCUUCAGUUGAGAAUGCUUGACUAAAGGGCUCUCUCCUCUGGGCAGCUCAAGUUAAUAGUUGAUACCUCUUCUGUUAGUCUCUGCUGCCCAAAGGAAUUUCUCUCUCUGCUCCUAAAAGAGGUAAAAGAAAUGGAUGCAAUGUCUUAUCAGAUUGGGAAAUGAUUAUUGAAGGUAGACUUUACUACGCCAUGAUUUGAUUUUCAACUUGCCAAGGACUUUGAGGAAUUUUAACUUUGAAGUAGUUUCCAUAUGUUAGAUUUUUUUCUAUUUAAAUUAAUUAUUGAGGGAGUGACUACUGUAUGUAGGUAGGUCACUUGUGCCUAUAUCAGCUCAGGACCAUGCACUGCCAUGUUUCAGUGAAUGUUCUGAACAUUGGUGGAUAAAUUGCUAGGAAAUAGACAUGAACGAAAUGUGUCAGGAUGGUUUGAACUAUGGACUUUUGAACAUUGAUCCUGAGAAGCCCAAGAUGAACAUUAGAACCUGAAUUCUGAGUUCUCUGUCCUGUUGGGAAAGAGGACAGAAAAAGAGACAUGCUGUCACUCUAGAGACACACUCUCAUCACUCCUUCAGCACAGAAGAGGAGGGUCUCAGCCAGGAUCUAGUCUUGAGACAGAAACUACACUAGUUAUUUUAACAGAGAGAAUUUAAUGUGAAGAAUUGUUAACUUGGUAUUAAUGAGCUGAAAAUGCCAAAAAUGAAUAUUAAUGUAUCACAGAGGUAGUUCCUAUUGGUAGGGCUGGCUUCCUGUGAGUGUGGCCACUGCAUUUGCACGGAGUCCCACAUUUAGAAGGGCCCCAUGCUUGGUUUAAUGCUCUGCUGUUGCUAUCUUGAAAUUCUUAGUAAUUUUUAAUGAGGAGUCGCCAUUUUCAUUUUUCACUCGACCCUGCAAAUUAUAUGGUUGGUUCUACCUGUAGGAAGCAGCUACCACUUUUAGGGGUGGGGGAACAAAGGGAAGAGGUUGAGAUUAUUAAACAGAAAAUCUUGAAGAAGGGGCCUCUGAGGUGUGGAUGUCACCUGGUGCUAGUGUCUCUGAGGUCAGAGAAGGGACCCUGUGAGGCUGGGACUAGGACCUCUGAGAAUGAGUGCUGAUUGGCUGGUGCUGGAGUCUUAGAAGGGACAUGCCAAGACUGGCUCUAGAAUCUCUGAGGCGGCACCACGAGGCUGGUUCUAAGUGCUAGAACUUCAGACUUUUCCUACUGGAAGGGAUCGCCCUCGCAAGGCUGAGGAAGUAGUGCUCAGCAAUGCUGAUAAAGCCAAAACCCAGUAGGAAUAGGAAACAAAAGAGAUUCAGGAGACAAGAAGGAGCCAAUAGCCUCUCCCUGUUCCAGUCUUCCCGUCUUCCCCAUGCCCCUUACUGGUACAGUUUAACGGGCACCCAGCUGGCAAAGUACCGCCAUGGGCUGCAGAGUCCUAGCCCUAGAGUCACAAAGUACAGAAAGGUGUGUGUGAAGGGAGAGCCUAGUAACUUUCACGAGCAGUAGGAGACUAGGAGAGAUGUGGGAGACGUCACGAGUCUCUGUCCCCCCGGCUGAGUUUGCAGUAGCCUCGCCAGCACCCGCUGAGGCACAUCCUCCGAUGGCCAAAGGACCCCUCAGAAGACUUAGCUAACAUGACCCUUCCAGACAGACCUUUCAAUCCCUGUAGCUCUAUUUUCCCUCAAAACUCCAUAAUGAUUUAUGCCAUACCUAAUUCUGCUUCAGACCGGCGAAGUGUUCAGAUGUGCGUGUGGUAGAAAAGGCGAAAGACUACUUCACUGUGCAGAAUGCUGACUUUCCCUCUGAGCGCUUCGGGAAGGAAGCAUUUUGUUUUAAGUAAGCCUUAGACUUCAGACUUUUCCUUUGUCUUCUCCCAGGUUUGGGAUUGUGUUUGUGCUAGUGCUUGGGUAAAAUUUGAUAAACAUGACAUUUACAUCUAG
rnacentral:lncRNA from 1 species